CCUACGGGAGGCAGCAGUGGGGAAUAUUGCACAAUGGGGGAAACCCUGAUGCAGCAACGCCGCGUGAGUGAGGAAGUAUUUCGGUAUGUAAAGCUCUAUCAGCAGGGAAGAAAAAAGAAGUAACCGGAAAAAGAUGCCCGGGCUAACUACGUGCCGGCAGCCGAGGUAAUAGGUAGGGGGCAAGCGUUAUCCGGAUUUACUGGGUGUAAAGGGAGGGUAGACGGAAAGGCAAGUCAGAAGUGAAAACCCAAGGAUCAACCAUGGGACUGCUUUUGAAACUGUCGAACUAGAGUACGGGAGAGGUAAGAGGAAUUACUAGUGUAGCGGUGAAAUGCGUAGAUAUUAGGAGGAACACCAGUGGCGAAGGCGUCUUACUGGACCGAAACUGACGUUGAGGCUCGAAAGCGUGGGGAGCAAACAGGAUUAGAUACCCCAGUAGUC
rnacentral:rRNA from 1 species